UGGGGAAUAUUGGACAAUGGGCGCAAGCCUGAUCCAGCCAUGCCGCGUGAGUGAUGAAGGCCCUAGGGUUGUAAAGCUCUUUCACCGGUGAAGAUAAUGACGGUAACCGGAGAAGAAGCCCCGGCUAACUUCGUGCCAGCAGCCGCGGUAAUACGAAGGGGGCUAGCGUUGUUCGGAUUUACUGGGCGUAAAGCGCACGUAGGCGGACUAUUAAGUCAGGGGUGAAAUCCCGGGGCUCAACCCCGGAACUGCCUUUGAUACUGGUAGUCUUGAGUUCGAGAGAGGUGAGUGGAAUUCCGAGUGUAGAGGUGAAAUUCGUAGAUAUUCGGAGGAACACCAGUGGCGAAGGCGGCUCCCUGGCUCGAUACUGACGCUGAGGUGCGAAAGCGUGGGGAGCAAACAGG
rnacentral:rRNA from 1 species